AAGUCGUAACAAGGUCUCCGUAGGCGAACCUGCGGAGGGAAUGCGCUCGCCGCUAGUACCCUCCGGGUAGAUCUCCCACCAUGCUCGCUCGUGAUAGAAUUGCUUUGGCGGGCCGCCGAGCCCUGCCCGUCCGCCGGCUCCGGCUGGCGCGAUGCUCGCUGUAGAUGCUCGCUGACUGAAUGUCAGUGUCGUCUGAGUACUAUAUAAUAGUUAAAACUUUCAACAACGGAUCUCUUAUGCUCGCUGAUAGUAGAUGUAGCAGCGAAAUGCGAUAAGUAAUGCGAAUUGCAGAAUUCAGUGAGUCAUCGAAUCUUUGAACGCACAUUGCGCCCUAUGGUAUUCCGCAGGGCAUGCCUGUUCGAGCGUCAUUUCAACCCUCAAGCUCUGCUUGGUGUUGGGCCCUGCCCGCUCGCGGCCGGCCCUAAAGACAGUGGCGGUGCCGUCUGGCUCUAAUGCUCGUGUAGUGGGCCUAGAUAGUGCUCGUAGUAUACUGCAGAACCCCCCAACUCUGUGGUUGACCUCGGAUCAGGUAGGGAUACCCGCUGAACUUAAGCAUAUCAAUAAGCGGAGGAAAAGAAACCAACAGGGAUUGAUGCUGCUCGCUGA
rnacentral:rRNA from 1 species